rnacentral:rRNA from 1 species
ACGAACGCUGGCGGCGUGCCUAAUACAUGCAAGUCGUACGCUUCUUUUUCCACCGGAGCUUGCUCCACCGGAAAAAGAAGAGUGGCGAACGGGUGAGUAACACGUGGGUAACCUACCCAUCAGAAGGGGAUAACACUUGGAAACAGGUGCUAAUACCGUAUAACAAUCGAAACCGCAUGGUUUUGAUUUGAAAGGCGCUUUCGGGUGUCGCUGAUGGAUGGACCCGCGGUGCAUUAGCUAGUUGGUGAGGUAACGGCUCACCAAGGCCACGAUGCAUAGCCGACCUGAGAGGGUGAUCGGCCACAUUGGGACUGAGACACGGCCCAAACUCCUACGGGAGGCAGCAGUAGGGAAUCUUCGGCAAUGGACGAAAGUCUGACCGAGCAACGCCGCGUGAGUGAAGGAGGUUUUCGGAUCGUAAAACUCUGUUGUUAGAGAAGAACAAGGAUGAGAGUAACUGUUCAUCCCUUGACGGUAUCUAACCAGAAAGCCACGGCUAACUACGUGCCAGCAGCCGCGGUAAUACGUAGGUGGCAAGCGUUGUCCGGAUUUAUUGGGCGUAAAGCGAGCGCAGGCGGUUUCUUAAGUCUGAUGUGAAAGCCCCCGGCUCAACCGGGGAGGGUCAUUGGAAACUGGGAGACUUGAGUGCAGAAGAGGAGAGUGGAAUUCCAUGUGUAGCGGUGAAAUGCGUAGAUAUAUGGAGGAACACCAGUGGCGAAGGCGGCUCUCUGGUCUGUAACUGACGCUGAGGCUCGAAAGCGUGGGGAGCAAACAGGAUUAGAUACCCUGGUAGUCCACGCCGUAAACGAUGAGUGCUAAGUGUUGGAGGGUUUCCGCCCUUCAGUGCUGCAGCUAACGCAUUAAGCACUCCGCCUGGGGAGUACGACCGCAAGGUUGAAACUCAAAGGAAUUGACGGGGGCCCGCACAAGCGGUGGAGCAUGUGGUUUAAUUCGAAGCAACGCGAAGAACCUUACCAGGUCUUGACAUCCUUUGACCACUCUAGAGAUAGAGCUUCCCCUUCGGGGGCAAAGUGACAGGUGGUGCAUGGUUGUCGUCAGCUCGUGUCGUGAGAUGUUGGGUUAAGUCCCGCAACGAGCGCAACCCUUAUUGUUAGUUGCCAUCAUUCAGUUGGGCACUCUAGCAAGACUGCCGGUGACAAACCGGAGGAAGGUGGGGAUGACGUCAAAUCAUCAUGCCCCUUAUGACCUGGGCUACACACGUGCUACAAUGGGAAGUACAACGAGUCGCGAAGUCGCGAGGCUAAGCUAAUCUCUUAAAGCUUCUCUCAGUUCGGAUUGUAGGCUGCAACUCGCCUACAUGAAGCCGGAAUCGCUAGUAAUCGCGGAUCAGCACGCCGCGGUGAAUACGUUCCCGGGCCUUGUACACACCGCCCGUCACACCACGAGAGUUUGUAACACCCGAAGUCGGUGAGGUAACCUUUUGGAGCCAGCCGCCUAAGGUGGGAUAGAUGAUUGGGGUG